GCGAAUGAAUUAAAACAUGUUUAAUCUGAUAAUUAAGGCUAUUAGCCUUGACAUGUAGUCUCAAACAGUAUUACCAAUAAGGGGGUGAAUGUAUGUUUCUUGGAACAGAGCAGCAAUAAAGGUGAUACUCCUGUUUGACAUUUAUUACUUCUUAUGCACCGUGUGCAUGUGUGGAAUCACAUUUUUUGGGAAUAAAAUGCAAAGUGGGUGGUAAGUUUCAUUAAAAAGUUUAAUAUAAACUUGAGACUGAUAGCGCACAAGUACCUUGAGGGAAAAAUGAAAAGGGCUUUGAAAAGAAAGUUAAAUGAGCUUCAAACUUGCUGAAUGGAAAGCAACCAGAAAUCAUGCAUGAAUCAAAGAUUGUUGUUGUGAUGUGUACUGCUGACCUCAGGUGUAGUGAUACAUGUGCAGCAGUGCAUCUUUUUGUAUUGUUAACCCUGGCUCAUGAAUGUUCAUUGGCUGAUAUUGGGUUUGCCGUUUGGAUUAACACCGCUGCCUGCGUCAACUCAUGAGCAAGAUUGUUUGGUUGGUCAUUGAUUAGUUGUGAUGAUUGUUCACAUCUGUGAAAAGUUUCUGGCACACACAAAUGAUGUUGACAAAAUGAUUUUGAUUGACCCGUCUUGAAACACGGACCAAGGAGCCUAACAGGUGUGCGAGUGAUUUGGGAAACAAUUUUGCAUAAUAACUGUAUAAGUUUGCAUACUUGCGCAAGCAGUCAACCAACUUACUGUAACAGGUUUGAGCUUGAGCGUUGCUGUUAAGACCCGAAAGAUGGUGAACUAUAUUUGAAAAGGGCAAGGUCAGGGGAAACUCUGAUGGAGGCGCACAGCGAUACUGACGUGCAAAUCGUUCGUUGUACUUGGGUAUAGGGGCGAAAGACUCAUCGAACCAUCUAGUAGCUGGUUCC
rnacentral:rRNA from 1 species